rnacentral:rRNA from 1 species
UACCAGACUCCUACGGGAGGCAGCAGUGAGGAAUAUUGGUCAAUGGGCUUACGCCUGAACCAGCCAAGUCGCGUGAGGGAAGACUGCCCUAUGGGUUGUAAACCCCUUUUGUCAGGGAGCAAUUGGCGCUACGUGUAGCGUUAUCGAGAGUACCUGAGGAAAAAGCAUCGGCUAACUCCGUGCCAGCAGCCGCGGUAAUACGGAGGAUGCGAGCGUUAUCCGGAUUUAUUGGGUUUAAAGGGUGCGUAGGCGGAUUUGUAAGUCAGCGGUAAAAAUGCGGUGCUCAACGCCGUAUCGCCGUUGAAACUGCAGGUCUUGAGUGAGCGAGAAGUAUGCGGAAUGCGUGGUGUAGCGGUGAAAUGCAUAGAUAUCACGCAGAACUCCGAUUGCGAAGGCAGCAUACCGGCGCUCAACUGACGCUGAGGCACGAAAGCGUGGGGAUCGAACAGGAUUAGAUACCCGGGUA